rnacentral:rRNA from 1 species
UGGCUUUACCUGAAGACGGUGCGCUAACCGCAAGAGAGGCAGGCGACCACGGUGGGCUUAGCGACUGGGGUGAAGUCGUAACAAGGUAACCGUAGGUGAACCUGCAGAAGGAUCA